CGGAAGGAUGCAGGGGGACGCCCACCUGGGCAGUUCGACUCCACAUGGCGGCGCUCCUGAAGAGACUGCUGCAGCCCGGGAAGCCCUCGGCGGCCUUGGGAAGCCCCAUGGGACGGCGCGAGGCCAGCCUGGGCUGUAAUCACGGGACUGCGGUGCGAGUGCGGUUCGCUCCCAGUCCCACAGGCUUCUUGCACCUUGGCGGCCUCCGCACUGCCUUGUACAACUACAUCUUUGCCAAGAAGCACCAAGGGAGCUUCAUCCUGAGGCUGGAGGACACAGAUCAGACCCGUCUUAUGCCAGGGGCAGCGGAGAAUAUUGAGGAUAUGCUGGAGUGGGCAGGCAUCCCCCCUGAUGAGAGCCCCCGCCGGGGAGGUCCUGCUGGCCCCUACCAGCAGUCUCAGCGACUUGAGCUGUAUGCCCAGGCCACAGAAGCUCUGCUUAAGACCGGAGCUGCUUACCCCUGCUUCUGCUCACCACAGCGGCUGGAGCUCCUGAAGAAGGAGGCUGUGAGGAACCACCAGACGCCCCGGUAUGACAAUCGGUGCCGGAACCUUAGCCAGGAGCAAGUGGCCCAGAGGCUGGCCAGGGACCCCAAGCCUGCUAUCCGCUUCCGCCUGGAGGAGGAGGCGCCAGCCUUCCAAGACCUGGUAUACGGCUGGAAUCGGCAUGAAGUGGCCAGCAUAGAGGGAGACCCGGUCAUCCUGAAGAGUGAUGGCUUCCCCACGUACCACCUGGCCUGCGUGGUGGAUGACCACCACAUGGGCAUCAGCCACGUGCUGCGAGGCUCCGAGUGGCUUGUCUCCACCUCCAAGCACCUGCUCCUCUACCAGGCCCUGGGCUGGCAGCCACCUCGCUUUGCCCACCUGCCCCUGCUCCUCAACAAAGAUGGCAGCAAGCUGUCCAAGCGGCAGGGAGACAUAUUCCUGGAGCAUUUUGCUGCUGCUGGCUUCCUGCCAGAUGCCUUGCUUGACAUCAUCACCAACUGUGGUUCGGGGUUUGCAGAGAACCAGAUGGGCCGGACCUUGCCAGAGCUGGUAGCACAGUUUGACCUGACCCGGAUUACCUGCCACUCUGCCCUGAUGGACCUGGAGAAGCUCCCAGAAUUCAACAGACUGCACCUCUGUCAGCUGGUGAGCAGUGAGGCCCAGAGGCACCAGCUGGUGGGGAAGCUGCAGGCCCUGGUGGAAGAGGCAUUUGGGAGCCGGCUGCAAGACAGGGCAGUCCUCGACCCGGCAUACAUGGAGAGGAUCCUUCUGCUGAGACAGGGUCAUAUUUGCCGCCUGCAGGAUUUGGUCUCCCCGGCAUACUCCUACCUGUGGGCUCGCCCUGAUGUGGAUCAAGCACGGCUGGGUGCCAUCUCAGAGGAGGUGGAUUCGAUUGCCAGGCGGGUGUUGGUGCCCCUUAUACACUGGCCCUCUUCUAGGCUUUUUGAAAGACCAGGUAUGACCUUAACACAGGAUGAGCUGAGUGGAGAACUAAAGAAGCUGUCAGAAGGUCUGGAAGGCACGAAACACAGCAAUGUGAUGAAAUUCCUCCGAGUGGCACUCAGUGGACAGCUGCAAGGACCCCCUGUGGCUGAGAUGAUGGUAUCCUUGGGACCAAAGGAAGUACGGGAACGAAUACAGAGGGUGCUUUGCAGCUAGUGAGAUGCCCAGGACUGUGGAGGUAGCUCUAGAACCCAGAUGCUUGGAAGCUACCUUUGACAGAGAGGAGAAGGGAGAUGUGGGCCGACUAGGAAGUUUGUGGAACUAAGAAUGGAAACAAAAUUCCUGGGUGUGUACACAAGAGCGUUUCUGGCUCUGCAGCAGGCCCAUCCUCAUCACUCAGUCAAGGAAGUUCAACCCCAUCCCAUCUCCUUGGCUCUGGAGGGAAAAACCUCGUGUAGGUUUUUGGGUACCACGUAACACCGCAGAGGCUAGAAGUUUAUUCACAGAAACAUCAGCAUCACAGAACAGUUCGCAUGUCCAGAAUCUUCAGCAGCAGUCUGGGUUCGUGGAUCCCAAUUCUUAGGCCCUGUUUGGAUUUAGAGCAAUAAAGGAUGACUGACACAGCGGGGCUGAACUGGAUGUCAGCCUUUCUCUGGGGAAUUUCAUGGGGAAGAGUCACUCAUCUGCCAAGGGUGAGGGCUUGUCAUUUAUAUUACUUUCAUCCUGGGACCUGAGGCAGCCUGCCUUCCAUUCUAUGAAGGCUGUCUGUUCCUCCUUUCUAGUUCUCCAGACCUGGUCCUUGUACUAGAGAUGAUUACCCUACCUUUUUUACAUCUUUUCUUCAUCUCUACCUCCUCCUUCCACCUAUUACUUGUAACUCAUUUUCCGAGGGUUUCUGAAAUGAGAUGUUUUUCUUGGAGUCUUAGGUGAAUGGGAAUAGCUAAAGUGAAAGGAGGAUGGUGGCUGGGUACAAAGACCACUUCAAAGCUUCCAGGCUUCCUAGAAUGGCAGCCAUCCUCCAAGGUGGCCCCCAGUGAUCCACCUCCUUGUAUUCACACCCUCAUGUAGUCCCUGUCCACACUGAAUAGGGCUGACUUGUGUAACCAGUAGACUAUCAAGGAAAUGACAGAUAACUUCUGAGGAAAGGUCAUAUAUAUAUUGCACCUUCCUUCUUAUUCUCUUGUAUCCCUUUCUUCUGGGGGGAGCCAACUUCUAGGUCAUGAAGACACUCCAGCAGCCCUGUGGGGAGUACCAUGUGAUAAGGAACUGAGACCGACUGCCAACAGCCAUUUGAAACAGAGCCUCCAGCCCCAGUUAGGCCUUCAGGUGACUGCAACCCCAACUGACUUCUUGAUUGCAGCCUCAUGAGAGAACCACCCAGCUGAGCUGCUCUCUUCCAGAUUUCUGAUGCUCACAAAUUGUUCCAUGCAGACAUGUUUAAAGACUGACCAUAAAGCCUGUGGCAUCUGAGGCAACCACAACUGGAGGAAGAUGGCAACGGCACGACCCUAGCCUCUCACAUAAAGAAACCAUUUCCUGGUUCACAGGCAUCUGGGUACCCCCCACUUAAUACUCUUUUGAGAGAAAAGAGUGCACCAGGGAGACUAUAUGUUGUUAGAGGCUCCUCCUAGGAAAACAGAGGAAUGAGUAAAAUAGGAGGAGAUACCCUGAAUCCAUCUCAGUAACCUGUUCUAUCUUGUCAGCCAGAGACAUGAACACUUACUGGACUUGUUUGCAUCUUGAUCCAUCAUAGUAAUUUAGGGAACUUAUCUGAUGUUGAUGUUCUGUGAAAUCAUUUAUGAUCACCAGGAGAGUAUGAUGACCUAGCCAAGGUCCCAAGUGAGUUCCUAGAUGGCAAGGGCUACACUUUUUCCUUUUCAUAUAUUUUAAUGAGAUGUGGGGCAAGGAGGUGAGCUGAUGAACCACAACCUGUCUUUUGAGGCCACAAGAGUUCCUGCUUUGGAGUCUGGGUCUAGGGUAGAAACAUAAGGGAAGUAAUAGCAUGUAGAAAAUAAUGGAGUUAUAGUGAGCCUGAUGGGGGAGGAAGGAAACCUGGUUUGGUGGCACACAAGACCUCAGCAAAAGUAUGAGCCAGUAUCCAUGCAGCCAAGGCACCCUGAGCCAUUCUCUCAGGGUGUUCCCCACCCCAGUCUCUCCUCACGACCUACUGUGACCUUUCUCUGCAUCAGGAAUACAUACAGCUUUCCUCCUCUCCCCUUAAAUAUCAUUUACCCAUGACACUCCCUCUCACCUUUCCACCAUCCAACUCCAUCAUCCCUGAAAAUGCAUAAAUAUCAGCUCCAUGGGGUUAAGUCUGGAAAGUGCUGAGCUUCCCUCCCUACUUUUGCCUACUUGGAGGGGGUGUGGAAUAGGAAAGGCUGAGCAGUGAACCCACAUUCAUGUGGCACAGCAGCUACCCUAUGGUGCAUUUGAGAGCAUCCAAAAUGGUAAAUGAAACUGAUAGGCAGUUUACAUUUUUAUCAUGAAAAUAAUUUUGUAUGCAACAUUCACAACACUGAAAAAAUAGUUUAAAUAAAAACAAAAUAACUUUUGACUUUUACUCUGCAAAUAAAUUUGUAAACCACUCAUAAUGUAACAGUAAAAUGACAGUGUGCACAUCAGAUCCAAUAAGAGAGUGUGUGUGUGCAAGUAUUUGGGGGCAUGUUCACCUCAAAGACCAUAGGUGCCAAGAUGACUGUGGGAGGCAGUCUCACUGAGCACAGUGGGCUCACUCUCGUAGGGAAAGAUUGUCUCAAGGGUUUAGUGUUUACCUUAGUGAAACAAUUUUUACCUAUAUUUUUCUGGGAUCUGUGGGCAAUUUUCUCCUCCAGCAGGCCACAUCUUUCUAUUUCCUAGACUUUGUUCUCUAGUUCUUUGAGUUGAUUAAAGGAAGAGUAGCAAGGGAAAAUAUCAGUAAUAUUAAAUGCCAGUGGACCAUCCUUCUAGCAUAAUCUUGGGACAUGGUGGUGUUUUGUUAUCAGUAUUAAAUCUGAAUUAUCAUAUUUGAUAUAUCAUAUCAUAUCAAAAGUUAGUUAUAAAUGACUUCCAGGGGUGUAAAUCUCCCUGGCAACGUGGGACGUGACUCGUGGGGAUGAGCUUGGCCUUGGCAUCAUGGGCUUGAGAACGCCUUC